UAUUACCGAAGAUCCGAAUCUAGAGCUUAGUGCUCUACUUCUCUAAUUGCUAUCUAAUCCAACCUCUAAACUUGAAGGAUUAGGGAGUAGCUAAUUCUAAUUCUCUAUGGGAGAGAAGCUCUAAACCCUAACUUUGAUGGCUACCUCUGAUAAUGAUUUCUCCUCUUCUCCUCUCUCCACCAGGGGUGGAGAGGCCUUGGUUAUAUAGUCCUUUCAAGUGAAUUUGGGCCGUUGGAUCAAACCGACAUUGAUUGUAUGGUUUAGAUUCAUACUUU
rnacentral:lncRNA from 1 species